AACGAACGCUGGCGGCAUGCCUAACACAUGCAAGUCGGACGAGACCUUCGGGUCUAGUGGCGCACGGGUGCGUAACGCGUGGGAACCUGCCCUUAGGUUCGGAAUAACUCCCCGAAAGGGGUGCUAAUACCGGAUAAUGUCUUCGGACCAAAGAUUUAUCGCCUUUGGAUGGGCCCGCGUUGGAUUAGCUAGUUGGUAGGGUAAAAGCCUACCAAGGCGACGAUCCAUAGCUGGUCUGAGAGGAUGAUCAGCCACACUGGGACUGAGACACGGCCCAGACUCCUACGGGAGGCAGCAGUGGGGAAUAUUGGACAAUGGGCGAAAGCCUGAUCCAGCAAUGCCGCGUGAGUGAUGAAGGCCUUAGGGUUGUAAAGCUCUUUUACCCGGGAUGAUAAUGACAGUACCGGGAGAAUAAGCGCCGGCUAACUCCGUG
rnacentral:rRNA from 1 species